UUAGAGUUUGAUCCUGGCUCAGGACGAACGCUGGCGGCGUGCCUAACACAUGCAAGUCGAGCGAAUGAAAUUCCUUCGGGAACGGAUUUAGCGGCGGACGGGUGAGUAACACGUGGGCAACCUGCCUCAUAGAGGGGAAUAGCCUUCCGAAAGGGAGAUUAAUACCGCAUAAGAUUGUAGUACCGCAUGGUACAGCAAUUAAAGGAGCAAUCCGCUAUGAGAUGGGCCCGCGGCGCAUUAGCUAGUUGGUGAGGUAACGGCUCACCAAGGCGACGAUGCGUAGCCGACCUGAGAGGGUGAUCGGCCACAUUGGGACUGAGACACGGCCCAGACUCCUACGGGAGGCAGCAGUGGGGAAUAUUGCACAAUGGGGGAAACCCUGAUGCAGCAACGCCGCGUGAGUGAUGACGGCCUUAGGGUUGUAAAGCUCUGUCUUCAGGGACGAUAAUGACGGUACCUGAGGAGGAAGCCACGGCUAACUACGUGCCAGCAGCCGCGGUAAUACGUAGGUGGCGAGCGUUGUCCGGAUUUACUGGGCGUAAAGGGAGCGUAGGCGGAUUUUUAAGUGAGAUGUGAAAUACUCGGGCUUAACCUGAGUGCUGCAUUUCAAACUGGGAAGUCUAGAGUGCAGGAGAGGAGAAGGGAAUUCCUAGUGUAGGCGGGGAAAUGCGUAGAAAUUAGGAAGACCACCAGUGGCGAAAGGCGCUUCUCUGGACUGUAACUGACGCUGAGGCUCGAAAGGCGGGGGGAACAAACAGGAAUUAAAUACCCCUGUUAAGUCCCCGCCCGUAAACCAAAGAAAAACU
rnacentral:rRNA from 1 species